rnacentral:antisense_RNA from 1 species
GCAAAAGGUCAAGACACACAAACUCAAGAGUUUUUAAAAUCAAGAAUUGAAAGUGGUCCACUAGCUUCUGUUCAUAGGACAUUGAGCCCCAGAUUUGGCACAUGACCGUCACCCACUCGGAACAUGAAGCACAGCUUGCCAUUUCGGACGGCAAUCACAGCAUGGCGGCUGAAAAUCAAAGUUUCUGCCCUUCUGUGAGCCUGAGCUGUUUUCAUGAAAAUGCAGCCUAACAUGACUGCAUUGAUGAUCAAACCCACAAUAUUCUGGAGAAUCAAAACCGUGAUGGCCAAAGGGCAUUCCUCUGUCAUCAUCCUCCCUCCAAACCCAAUGGUAACUUGAACUUCAAUGGAGAAGAGAAAAGCAGAAGUGAAAGACCUGUGAGGAAUGAUAUCAGAAAAGAACACCAUCAGGUCACAUUUUGAAUAAUGAAAUAUGCCAAGCUGAGCUUUUCAUUUUC